rnacentral:rRNA from 1 species
GACGAACGCUGGCGGCGUGCUUAACACAUGCAAGUCGAACGGAGUGGCGAACGGGUGAGUAACACGUUGGUGACCUGCCCUGCACUUCGGGAUAAGCCUGGUAAACUGGGUCUAAUACCGGAUAGUGUGGGAUGGGCACUCGGCCUAUCAGCUUGAUGGUGGGGUAAUGGCCUACCAAGGCGGCGACGGGUAGCCGGCAUUAGAGGGUGGACGGCCACAAUGGGACUGAGAAAAGGCGCAGACGGCUACGGGAGGCAGCAGUGGGGAAUAUUGCACAAUGGGGGGAAGCAUGAGGCAGCGACGGCGCGGGGGGGAUGACGGCCUUCGGGUUGUAAACUCCUUAAACCAUAGACGCGGUAGAUGGAGAAGAAGCACCGGCUAACUACGUGCCAGCAGCCGCGGUAAUAA